CGGCCCUAAUAACACCGAUAACUUCUUGCAUGAAUAUAUCCCAAUGACCUUACAGCAAAAGCUAUGGCGCGUACACACUAGAAACAGAAAAGGUAAAACAAAUAUGAGGACCUCCAACAUAGAUACUAAAACUCAAGCACGAGUGAAAAGCUUUGUCGCGAGGCUGAUGAAUCCAGUGGAGCUCUUAGUAAUUGAAGCAAAAUUUCAUACUCAAAGCCAAAAACAAAAACUUGACAGCAGCAUAUCUUGAAUGGCUAAUAACUUUGAAGAGUGUAUGCCUUGGUCGGAUUUAAGCAGAUGAACACAAUGAGAUGUAUUCAUCCAUGUCUCUGAAAAUUUAUAAAAAUUUGAUGUAGGUUAGGAAGCGGAGUUUUUAGUAUGAUUGUUCAUUGUUGCUAGGGUUUUAUGAACUCCCAGGCAGGUUUGCUCUUUUUACACUGUGAUUUUCUGAACCAGCUCAUCUUUAAUUUGUUCUUGUUGUUGUUGCUUCUUUUUCGCAAUGCUCGUGUAUAAUUAUGUAUUUUGCCACUACUGUUUAAUGCGUAGGCCUCGUGUUAAGUUUUGUGGCUUUGGAUCCCCUUCAUUUUCUCCAUCUUCAUCCCUCAGUAACAGUGGACCAUCGUCUUCUGCUAUCCUACUCUCACCUCCAUUCCUUUCUCACCAUUUUUUCUCUCGCUUCUUUUUGGUUUGUAGAAACCCUACUGCAUCCCCUACGUGCGACCACCACGACCACGAUGAAGAUGACGACUACGGCGACGCGGGUAACAAUUAUUUAAAAGAAGACGAAUUUGUUUAUAAAAGAAGGCAAAAUUGUUUGUCUUAUCAAGCACAUAUAUAGUUACCUUUGUAGCCUCUCUCUCUCUCAGCUUAUCCAUGGCUACCACAAAUUCAUUUAUCACUUUGGAAAAACCCUUCUCUGCUUUACCCAAUAAUAAUUAUUUAGCCAAAGAUGAUUGGGUAUUUUUUAAAUAUCAAGAUUUCAAUUUGAAAAUUAGUAAAUCUCUAAAAUUUUGAUGUUUGAUUGCAAAAUUAGGCUGAAUUUUUUAAUAUCCAUUUCUAGUUUAUUUUCAGGUCUAAGAAGAAAUAGCUUCAAAAUUAAUGUGGUUGCUACAAAAUGGAAACCUACAAAGGUUUUUCAGCUUCAUUUUAAUUAUCUAUUAGGAACUCUUAAUUUCUUUUUUGUUGAUGAAAAAUGAUAAAUAAAUAAACAUUAGGGUUUCAAUUGAAUCUAGAUCUGGAAAACUCUGACAUUUCAAUUGAAAUGUAGAAUUUAUGAUCGUUGAUUAGUUUCCUGAUUAAUUUUGUGAUUUUUCCACACUAUUUUCAUUUCGACAAUCUUUUUGCCUAUGUUCAGAUGUUUCUUAUUGCUUAGUUAUUGGAAAUGUGAUAAAAACAGAGUAGAUAUUUGAAAAAUAAGAAAAAAUAUGCAAUAUUUGGGCAUUUCUCCUGUGAUUUCAAGAGAAAUAUAUGAAGAUCUAAGCUUUGAUGGCUGUUGUUGAGUUUUUUUUAGAGUGAUAUCAGUAUGUGAAAUGGUGGGAUACUUUUUAUUUAGCAGAUAUUGAUAUUUGAUUCAGAAUGUCUAAUAGCCAUACUCCCGACAACUUGUACAUCACAUGUUGUUUUCUCUUGUCGAGAUAAGAUUGAAAUUUGGUUGGAUUUGAGGAAUUAAUUGAGGCUUGCUUGUUUUGAGGUGAUAAUAGGUCUCAAUUAAUGUAAAAUUUGUGUUUUGCAAUGUGGUUGAUAAUAUGGACCAAAUUUUGUUCUUUUCCAAUAAUUUACCUGUAUAGAUAAUGUGAUGUCUCUUAUGUUCCAUUUGUAACAUUUGUUCAUAUUUGUUUAGUUUUGACAUUGUAAUUCUAAAACGUAUGCUUGUGUUGUCAUGUUUGCUUUGCCGAUAUCAUCCAUCUCACUCUCACCCUUCCUUUACUAUAAGAUCUGGAUCGGACCAUGAAAUUCGAUGGACACAAAUGCAGCAUAAUGUAUUGGGUCGCGGGAAUUUUGUAAUUACUCGCUCUCAUGCUAUGGGCCCAACACUGAAGAGAGGAAGCGGAUUUGUUAGUGCAAUAUGCAAAUUGUUGGUUGGAUGUUGAAUGCGUCUUUUGGCAGUUUUGUAAUUUGGGUUAGGUGAAAGCGAUGAAACUACAAAGGCAGCCUUGUUAAGACUUGGCACACUUGGAGAAUAUAAGUUAGGAAGCUGAUAAAAGAGGAUCAGAAACACAAGAGAUACUAUAGAACACAGUAAAGGGCAUGGUCUCCAAAUUGAUGGUUUACCUUGCACAAAGUCUUUAAAUACUUUAAUUUAAUUCUUGUUUAAGCAAUAUCUACACCUAAGUUUUGCUUAUUA